rnacentral:rRNA from 1 species
UACGUAGGGGGCAAGCGUUGUCCGGAAUCAUUGGGCGUAAAGAGCGUGUAGGCGGCCCGAUAAGUCCGCCGUGAAAGUCCAGGGCUCAACCCUGGAAUGCCGGUGGAAACUGUCGGGCUGGAGUCCGGGAGAGGCGAGUGGAAUUCCUGGUGUAGCGGUGAAAUGCGCAGAUAUCAGGAGGAACACCAAUGGCGAAGGCAGCUCGCUGGGACGGUACUGACGCUGAGGCACGAAAGCGUGGGGAGCAAACAGG